rnacentral:rRNA from 1 species
UGCAGUCGACGGUAACGCGGGGCACCUGGCGACGAGUGGCGAACGGGUGAGUAAUACAUCGGAACGUGCCCAGUAGUGGGGGAUAGCCCGGCGAAAGCCGGAUUAAUACCGCAUACGACCUAUGGGUGAAAGUGGGGGAUCGCAAGACCUCACGCUAUUGGAGCGGCCGAUGUCAGAUUAGGUAGUUGGUGGGGUAAAGGCCUACCAAGCCGACGAUCUGUAGCUGGUCUGAGAGGACGACCAGCCACACUGGGACUGAGACACGGCCCAGACUCCUACGGGAGGCAGCAGUGGGGAAUUUUGGACAAUGGGCGCAAGCCUGAUCCAGCCAUGCCGCGUGCGGGAAGAAGGCCUUCGGGUUGUAAACCGCUUUUGUCAGGGAAGAAACGCGCUGAGCUAAUACCUCGGCGUAAUGACGGUACCUGAAGAAUAAGCACCGGCUAACUACGUGCCAGCAGCCGCGGUAAUACGUAGGGUGCAAGCGUUAAUCGGAAUUACUGGGCGUAAAGCGUGCGCAGGCGGCUUUGCAAGACAGAUGUGAAAUCCCCGGGCUUAACCUGGGAACUGCAUUUGUGACUGCAUGGCUGGAGUGCGGCAGAGGGGGAUGGAAUUCCGCGUGUAGCAGUGAAAUGCGUAGAUAUGCGGAGGAACACCGAUGGCGAAGGCAAUCCCCUGGGCCUGCACUGACGCUCAUGCACGAAAGCGUGGGGAGCAAACAG